GGAUCCACCCAUGGAAAAUAUAUAUCAAGCAUGAUGUGGUGUAUUCUAGCAAUAGAAUAUGUCAUUCAUUGCUUUAACAGCCAACAGGUCUAGUUCAUUUAUAAAAGAAACAUUUUAUUCAUGUACAAACAUACUGUAAGCAUGUUUCUGGAUUUGGUGGAAAUGUCACAUGAAAAUAAAGAUAACUAAUGCACAGAAAUGAGUACCAUUGUACAAAUUGUGAUGUCUGACCAAUUUGAGAAAUUGUUUUAUUCAUGACUUCAUGAAACAACAGCUGACAGAUACAGUGUGAAAAAAAAUAUUUCUUCGCUAAUUUGACAUUUAAAUUUCCCUCCAGGUAAACAGCUGGAAAUGAGCAGCCAAUCAGAUCGACCGUUACAAACUACCACAACAACCGGAAGUUGACAGUGACAGAUUUUCCGAUAAUUCUGACAGAUCGAGAAACCUAAUGAAAAUUGAAAGCUUUGACAGAAGUACAAGCAAACAGAUGACACAUAGUGGCUGCAGAAGCUUUAAAAGUUAGAUAGAGCUGGGGCAGUCAAAACACUUGGAUAAUACUUCUAUGGUGUCCAACAUGUCCAGUGAGGUUGACAAGUGGAAGAUGGUCUGAUGGUACAAUGAUGUGCAGAUGAUACUCUGUAACAAGUUUAACAUGUCAAAGUGUAAAAUGUUCUAUGGAUUCAUAUGAUGAUAAUGCCAGUGUUGAUGUGUAUGACUUAUUUAAACACAGAUAUUGAUACCUUCAGAUAUGUACCUGUGAAAUCUUCAGUGUAACCGUUCAGCUGUCGUUCAAGAUCAGUGUCUGCAGCUUGCACAGUUUAGUAUAGAGGAGCCUACUGAAUCAAUUUUGUUACAUAUUUGCUUUUAUUAUAGGACACACAUGUAGAGAGCAGCAAGUCCUGUAAAUGUGAUUCAGAAACUCUGAGAAUGUGUAGACAUUACACUGAUAUAAUUUUCAAAAUACUGUGUCAUGCAGUGUAUCAGUACUUUUUUGUCUCAGUUUAGCUCAGUAUGUUCACAAAUCAAACUUAAGAUCAUAAUGAUCAGUAUUAUUAAAAUCAUUAAUUAUUUGUAUGGUGACAAAAUUUAAUUUCAUGAAAUACCACAGUAAAACGUUUGAUAAUUUCCGCUUUUAAAGUUGUGAGUUUAAAGUUGGCAUAAAUUGUUUUUCUCCUUCAUCAAUCUAAAAAGUGAUUGGUCAUUGUAAUUGCAAUAUCAUUUUAGUAUGACAAAGUUUAUAUUGAACUAAAACACUAAUGUAAAUUUUUGAACUGGUCAA
rnacentral:lncRNA from 1 species